rnacentral:rRNA from 1 species
UACGUAGGGUGCGAGCGUUGUCCGGAAUUACUGGGCGUAAAGAGCUCGUAGGUGGUUUGUCGCGUUGUCCGUGAAAACUCACAGCUUAACUGUGGGCGUGCGGGCGAUACGGGCAGACUGGAGUACUGCAGGGGAGACUGGAAUUCCUGGUGUAGCGGUGGGAUGCGCAGAUAUCAGGAGGAACACCGGUGGCGAAGGCGGGUCUCUGGGCAGUAACUGACGCUGAGGAGCGAAAGCGUGGGGAGCGAACAGG